ACGCAGAACCUGAUGGAUGAAAAAAUUACUUUGAUAAUCGUAAUCGUCUGCCAAUCAUGUGAUAAUAACAGUAUAGAUAUAUAACCAAGAUAAAAUAAUAGAACUAUUGAUUUGACUAAAGGAGAGUUUAGUUAGUAACUAGGAGUAUUUCCUUAUAUCAAUAAAAUUGCCUAGAAUCGGCACCGGUUUCAAAUAAAGAGCACCCAAUAACAAAACCCCCACUCCUACCGUAUAUUGAAAGCAAAGGGUGAGAAAAUUGACUUCGGCUAAGUGUUUUGGCUCUGAACUUUAUGAACCAAGCCAAACAAGAAGAGAUCUGUUAGCAAACUGUAUAUAUCAUCCAAUUUUUACCAUACUUACCAGAUUUUGCGAAUUCAAAGGUAUUUUCUAUGAUGUUCUUCUAGGCCAUGUGAUCUUAAUCCACACAUUCUUAAACUAGAUUUUUGUAAGGUAAUACUUGAAUCAUAUUAUGAUGACCUUGGAAGUUCAAUCGAAAAAUCAUUCAAUUCUAUGAUUUUUUUUGACUCGACUUAGGAUUUUUGAGGAAUUCAAUUCAAUCAAAUCUGGCUGGGCUGGUCACACUGGCUUGGCUUUAAACUUAAACUUACCAGUCUUCGCUUUUGGGUGGCUUUUCGGACAUCCCAACACAUUCCAUAUGGAACCAUUUGCUUCCUGGACACUAGAAAAAAGAUUGGAAAUGUAGUGAGAAACAUUUUUGAUUGGUAAACAUGAAUGCAUAUGAGUUCAUUACGAGUUGUGGGGACUAGGGGAGGGUGCUGCCUUGAGGCCAGGAAGUUUACAACACAGGCUGCAAGAAAAUUGAUGGUAACUUGACAAAGCCAUAUCAGAAGUUGAAUAUUACCUCGCAGUGUUGUUAUGAUCUGCUCUUCCAGAGCUUUCACCAGAUCUAUGUCAACAGAUGAUGGUUCACAGCAGUUUCUUUCUGUCUCAGGAAUCUUAAUUUCUGCUUCCAGAUCACCUAAGUGAAAAAAGGUUUUGAGAAUUUCACCUUUUUUACAUUUGCUUUACAUUUUAAAAGUUCACCAAAUGCUUAUUGGAAUUAUGCAAAUGGACAUUAUAGGAAGUUUAGACAUGUAGGGUCAGCAAUAGAGGGGGUUACCAGGGCAAGUGCCCAUGGGCCCAGGUCCAUUCUGGGGCCCAUAAUCAUGAAUCAUGGAAUCUUUAUUAAUUGUCAUAUUGUAGAAUCUAUAAUAAUUUUCCUAAGAUCUAUAAUCAUUGUUAAGCAAACUCAUUGCUUCCCCAAGGGCUCUGCCUUGUUGCCCAGUAGAUAUGACAUAUUGUUUGUGUUGAUUAUCGAUGGAAAGAGAGUCAUACUUUGCAAAGAAUGAAUGUCAUAAGUCACUGAAGAUGCCAAGAGAGCUUAUGGAGAGACUUUGAAAUAAGAUAGAUUUGAAUCUUUGUCUUGGUGAAAAUGUAUCCUGUAAAAUGAGAAACUCCAAACCUUCAUUCAUCCACUCUUGUAAGGCUGUUGACAGCAUUGACUUUGGAAUUUUGUGUCCUUUGGAAAGUUUUGGAAACUGUAUAAGUUCUUUAUAUCCCAAUGGUGUAUUUAACUGUUACCAUUAUGAAAAAAUAGCAUUGCAAAAAUUAUGGCUGGUGUAUGUUUGUAUUUCGCUAUCAAUUUUCAGAGCAGAGACAAUGAAGAAAUAAAAUUUUAAAACAUAUGGUGCCAGACUGCAAUUACUGAGAGUUUAUAUUUCAGGUGUGUUUGUCAAUGUGGUAAUUUGUAUGUCAUUAUCUUCACAUAAGAACACAAGAAAAUGAAUUUUUUGAUGAUUUUUUGAAGUGAAAGUUUUCUCUACGUUGCAAUUCUAAACAUCUUUUGAAAAUAGCUAUGCUUCAGAACUUUUUCCAUUUUAAGUUUAAGGCAUGGCUAUCAGGAUAGGGGCACUGGGCAGGCCUCGCUCCUGAAUAUUAAUUUUUAAUUGUAAGGCAAAACCUUAAGACAACUUCUUUGUCCUAUGUCUUAUAUAAUUUAUUUUCACAUAAUUCUCUUCUAUAGAUACCUUUUUUUGGCUCUGUCCUUUCUGCUGACCUGUUGCGCUGUUCUGCUAUCGUGCACUCAAAAUUUUCUUUAGAAAAGUAAAUGGGGCAGCCAAUUGCAUUUUCGCAGAUCCCCUUGACUUCUCUCUCAAAAUCCUUGGAAAAUAGAUACUUUAAUUAGGCAAUAAUUGAUUCACUUAAGAAUUGCAUCUUUGUACAUUUAGAUAUAUCCUCAUAUUUUGUGUACAGGCUUGUUUGGUUUGUAGCUGACUACCUUUCCAUGUUUAUGAGAGGAUUCUCUAGGCUAAUGUUUAUAAGUUCAAUAAAAGAGAAGGAAGAGGCUGGAAGAUAUCCAUUGCAUACUGUGAUCAUUUGCAUAUUCAUUUUGGCCACUCACUUUCUUGAAUAUAAUAAAAGCUCAUUUUAAAAUCAAUUGAUCUACAGACAACUAAGUAGUGCUUUCUGAAGUGAAAAUUACCUCUUUCCUAAUAUCAAUGAAUUCCUCUCUGAAAACCACUGCCUUUACUGCCACUGCAGACACAUACUUGUUUGUAUGCUUCAUCUUCACAGAAGUGUUCCAGUUUAGCCAUGAGAGGGCCUGAUAAAAGAUUAACUACUUUUACACACCUAUACUGGUUUGCAGAUUUAAAGUGAAGUAGCUUGACAUGUACUCAGCCCCUCCAAGUGAUUCAGAGGCUCUGGGAAAUUUGAAGACAAAAUGACGCCACAGCAUUUUGAUACACCCAUGCCCCGCUUCACCGAGCCUUGUUGCAACUUCUCAUGCAUCUGGAGCAAGGUUUCUGCCUGUAGCUCAUUAUUUUUUGUAUCAUUUAUGUUCAAGAUCAUUGUCGACCUUCUACAGAUCUCUUGAUAUGAAAGCCUGUCACAAAUAGAAAGGUUUUCAAGAAAAUGGUAAAGAACAUGGCUUUCAUUUUGAAAUAUGAAUAACUCAACAACCUGCAGAACUAUCUACAUUCCUAAAACAAUUUCUUAAUUUUUUAUGAUGAAACAAUUUCUUAAUUUUUAUUUGUUCAA